UUAAGCGACUAAGCGUACACGGUGGAUGCCUAGGCAGUCAGAGGCGAUGAAGGGCGUGCUAAUCUGCGAAAAGCGUCGGUAAGGUGAUAUGAACCGUUAUAACCGACGAUACCCGAAUGGGGAAACCCAGUGCAAUUCGUUGCACUAUUGCAUGGUGAAUACAUAGCCAUGCAAGGCGAACCGGGGGAACUGAAACAUCUAAGUACCCCGAGGAAAAGAAAUCAACCGAGAUUCCCCCAGUAGCGGCGAGCGAACGGGGAGGAGCCCAGAACCUGAAUCAGCGUAUGUGUUAGUGGAAGCGUCUGGAAAGUCGCACGGUACAGGGUGAUAGUCCCGUACACAAAAAUGCAUAUGUUGUGAGUUCGAUGAGUAGGGCGGGACACGUGACAUCCUGUCUGAAUAUGGGGGGACCAUCCUCCAAGGCUAAAUACUCCUGACUGACCGAUAGUGAACCAGUACCGUGAGGGAAAGGCGAAAAGAACCCCGGCGAGGGGAGUGAAACAGAACCUGAAACCGUGUACGUACAAGCAGUGGGAGCACCUUCGUGGUGUGACUGCGUACCUUUUGUAUAAUGGGUCAGCGACUUAUAUUUUGUAGCAAGGUUAACCGAAUAGGGGAGCCGUAGGGAAACCGAGUCUUAACUGGGCGAAUAGUUGCAAGGUAUAGACCCGAAACCCGGUGAUCUAGCCAUGGGCAGGUUGAAGGUUGGGUAACACUAACUGGAGGACCGAACCGACUAAUGUUGAAAAAUUAGCGGAUGACUUGUGGCUGGGGGUGAAAGGCCAAUCAAACCGGGAGAUAGCUGGUUCUCCCCGAAAGCUAUUUAGGUAGCGCCUCGUGAACUCAUCUUCGGGGGUAGAGCACUGUUUCGGCUAGGGGGUCAUCCCGACUUACCAAACCGAUGCAAACUCCGAAUACCGAAGAAUGUUAUCACGGGAGACACACGGCGGGUGCUAACGUCCGUCGUGAAGAGGGAAACAACCCAGACCGCCAGCUAAGGUCCCAAAGUCAUGGUUAAGUGGGAAACGAUGUGGGAAGGCACAGACAGCCAGGAUGUUGGCUUAGAAGCAGCCAUCAUUUAAAGAAAGCGUAAUAGCUCACUGGUCGAGUCGGCCUGCGCGGAAGAUGUAACGGGGCUAAACCAUGCACCGAAGCUGCGGCAGCGAACGUAUCACUUAAAACGCUUAACGUGACGGCAAAGCCGGCAUGUUCAAGCCACACUAAACGUUGAGUUGGCCGAUGUGCUGACAAACGAACAGGCGUUUUAAGGAUACGUUCGUUGGGUAGGGGAGCGUUCUGUAAGCCGUUGAAGGUGACCUGUGAGGGUUGCUGGAGGUAUCAGAAGUGCGAAUGCUGACAUAAGUAACGAUAAUGCGGGUGAAAAACCCGCACGCCGGAAGACCAAGGGUUCCUGUCCAACGUUAAUCGGGGCAGGGUGAGUCGACCCCUAAGGCGAGGCUGAAAAGCGUAGUCGAUGGGAAACAGGUUAAUAUUCCUGUACUUGGUGUUACUGCGAAGGGGGGACGGAGAAGGCUAGGCUAGCCGGGCGACGGUUGUCCCGGUUUAAGCAUGUAGGCGGAGUGACCAGGUAAAUCCGGUUGCUUAUCAACGCUGAGGUGUGAUGACGAUGCACUACGGUGCAGAAGUAGUUGAUGCCAUGCUUCCAGGAAAAGCCUCUAAGCAUCAGGUAACAUGAAAUCGUACCCCAAACCGACACAGGUGGUCAGGUAGAGAAUACUCAGGCGCUUGAGAGAACUCGGGUGAAGGAACUAGGCAAAAUGGUGCCGUAACUUCGGGAGAAGGCACGCUGGCAUUAGGUAAAGGGACUUGCUCCCGGCGCCGAAGCCAGUCGCAGAUACCAGCUGGCUGCAACUGUUUAAUAAAAACACAGCACUGUGCAAACACGAAAGUGGACGUAUACGGUGUGACGCCUGCCCGGUGCUGGAAGGUUAAUUGAUGGGGUCAGCCGCAAGGCGAAGCUCUUGAUCGAAGCCCCAGUAAACGGCGGCCGUAACUAUAACGGUCCUAAGGUAGCGAAAUUCCUUGUCGGGUAAGUUCCGACCUGCACGAAUGGCGUAAUGAUGGCCAGGCUGUCUCCACCCGAGACUCAGUGAAAUUGAACUCGCUGUGAAGAUGCAGUGUACCCGCGGCAAGACGGAAAGACCCCGUGAACCUUUACUAUAGCUUGACACUGAACAUUGAGCCUUGAUGUGUAGGAUAGGUGGGAGGCAUAGAAGUGUGGACGCCAGUCUGCAUGGAGCCAACCUUGAAAUACCACCCUUUAAUGUUUGAUGUUCUAACUCGGCCCCGUAAUCCGGGGUGAGGACAGUGUCUGGUGGGUAGUUUGACUGGGGCGGUCUCCUCCCAAAGAGUAACGGAGGAGCACGAAGGUUAGCUAAUCACGGUCGGACAUCGUGAGGUUAGUGCAAAGGCAUAAGCUAGCUUGACUGCGAGAGUGACGGCUCGAGCAGGUACGAAAGUAGGUCUUAGUGAUCCGGUGGUUCUGAAUGGAAGGGCCAUCGCUCAACGGAUAAAAGGUACUCCGGGGAUAACAGGCUGAUACCGCCCAAGAGUUCAUAUCGACGGCGGUGUUUGGCACCUCGAUGUCGGCUCAUCACAUCCUGGGGCUGAAGUAGGUCCCAAGGGUAUGGCUGUUCGCCAUUUAAAGUGGUACGCGAGCUGGGUUUAGAACGUCGUGAGACAGUUCGGUCCCUAUCUGCCGUGGGCGUUGGAAGAUUGAGAGGGGCUGCUCCUAGUACGAGAGGACCGGAGUGGACGAAUCACUGGUGUUCGGGUUGUCAUGCCAAUGGCAUUGCCCGGUAGCUAAAUUCGGAAGAGAUAACCGCUGAAAGCAUCUAAGCGGGAAACUUGCCUCGAGAUGAGUCUUCCCUGGGGCUUUAAGCCCCCUGAAGGAACGUUAAAGACGAUGACGUUGAUAGGCUGGGUGUGUAAGUGCAGCGAUGCAUUGAGCUAACCAGUACUAAUGAACCGUGAGGCUUAACCUU
rnacentral:rRNA from 1 species